rnacentral:lncRNA from 1 species
GGAGCCCCCUUAAAUUUAAGAAUCCAAAUGCUUACGUAAGAAGUUUGGUUUCAGGAGGUUAGAACUUGCCUCUUACAUCUAAGCACGAGCAUCUAAGAUUGUUCCUUGUAAAUAUUUGAACUAGUAAAAUUUGUAUUCUUUAGAAACAUUUCGAACACCAGUAUUUGAUGAGGUAAUUAAAGCUUUUCUUUUUAUAUUCCUCCACAUUGUUGUCAUGGAUUGCAUGUGCAGUCAUGGAAGUUACAUUUAUUUGAGAAAUUUUAUUUUUGUUUAAUUUAAUACCUUUUAAAUUUAGUCUAACAUAUUUGCUUCAAAUCUCAACAACAAAAAAUUGUAAAGAAAAACUAUGAAAAUUACCUCAUUUUGGAUAGUCUGCCAAAAUUUACCUAAAGCAUUGAAGUUGAUGUGGAUAUAAUUUCUUUUAGGGGAGGCAGUUGUUCAUUUUUAAUUUUGCCAAAAAUUUGUAUAUGUACACAAAUAAUAUUUCUGCACCAAAGUAACCAAAUAACAUCUGAAAAAGGACAUCUGUUUAUCAGUAACAUCAUCGAAUUUUAAAAAGAAAUGACAGAAUUUUCAUUAUUUUUUUUCAAUAUCAGGGGCAAAUAAAUUGCUCUUAUCAAUCCUUCUUUCUCGAACUAAAAGACUCCUAGUGAUCAGGUUGUACAUUAUAUCACAGAAACUUCUAGAACAAUGAAAGGAUAAUAAACCUUUUAAAAGAAUUUGAUGUCUAAAAGUAAGAAGGCUUUCAUAAGAACAGUUCUAUCCAAUCAUAUCUAGGCUUUCAUAAAAGCAGUUCUAUCCAAUAAAGAUUACUAUCUAUAUUCAAGAAUACUUUGCAUGAUUGCUAAGAACACAAUAUUAUCACAGAAAUUCUUUAAGUACACUGUAUACAUGCAAAUUGUACUAACAUACUGUAUAAUACCAGUUGUACUAACAUACUUAUCACAACUUUAUUCUCAUCUUUGGUCUAUCAUCUAAAAGCAAAUAAUAUUGUAAAUUAUGUGGCCAAAUAAAUCUCAAUAGUAGAUAAUCAUCCCAGUCUGAUUCCUAUAUACUAUCAGAAGAUGAGAAUAUCUUUUUUGAGUGUUAGAUUUCUAUUGUUUUGGUCACUUUUACUCAUACACAUAUUGUGGUAGAUAUUACUUGUCUGCUGGACUUUAAAAAAAAAAAAUCUUUAUACCAAAACUAUUGAUUACACAGAUGACAAAAAUCUACAUAUUUAGUUUACUUGGCCAUUGCAAAUAAAUAAAGUGAUGUAAUAAAUAAUAUCUAUCUACAACUCAGUUACAUACUAAAACAAAACAUUAAUUUUCUUAUUUUUUUUUUUAAUUUUACAAUGUCAUUACUAAUUCAUGGUUAAAAGUAACCUAGAAAAAAAUCUUUGAAACAGUAUUUUGAAAAAUGAAAAUAUUCUUUUAUCAUUUUAACCUGAAUCGUCAAACUAGCUACCUGAUAUCUCAAACAAUAAUUAGUAACAAAUAACAGCAGUACAAUUUGAACCCUGUUCUUAAAAACCCUGAAGUUUGAUUAAUUCCCUAAUUCUACAUAUCAAAGGUAUUACAAAUAAACAAAAAUAUACAACAGAAAAACUCAAAUUGCUAACUUCUUUAGCUAGUUUUAUACCCGCCUGUCCCCAAACAUAUUUGAUGGAAUUGUGUGCCCAAAUUUAUGUGAAUGUGUUGUGUGUAGUAAUGAUACAUAUAUAAAACAAAUGGACAACUAUUCUAGAUAUAGCACCUUAAAAGUAACAGAUUAAUAAAAUGAUGUAAACAUGAAUACAUAUACCAUUAAAAAUAUGUAAAUAAAAUAACAUCAACAACAUAAAAAUAUCAGUGUGCUGCAGUUUAAGAGAGGAAUGUUUGACAUAACAUUGGAUUCUGGUAGGAAUGAUUAAUUCUUGACAAGCUUUAAGUAUCACUGAAACAUAAUUUUGUACCAUUUUUUUUAUAUUAUUCUUCAUAAUCCAAAUUUUACCAAAUUAUUGAACAAUUUUGAUUCCCAAAUUAAAAAAAACCCAAAAAACUGAUAAAGGUCAUAACAAGGUCAGAGGACAAAGGUUAUAACAGAUAGUGAUGACAUAGUGUGUUUAUUCCAAUACAUUUCUUUCUUCAAUACAUUACAUUAUGAGAUGAGUACUUUUCCUCCAAACUAAAGCAGAUUGCUCUUAUUUGACCAUUAAAAGUUGUUACUAAUCUCUAAACUAUAGCUAAAUGAUGCAUAAAGGUGUAAGGAUGUCACAUAAUGUUAAACAGCAGUCUGUGUCAUAAUAUUGUUUUACUUUGCCACUUUCAUACUAUAAAUGUAUUGAAAAAAAAAACUGAGGUUCAGAAGUUUUUAUAAAACAAAAUAAGAUAUGCAUUAAGUGAUACUUUAUAAACAAUCAAUUAGUAACAGCAUGUUGCGGUAAAAUUCUUUUGAAAUGCACUUGGUCCCAUUUCUGGUGUACAAUCCAUAUUAAAACAGUAAAAUAUAUGUACAAAAUUUACAUCAACUUCAACAUGACCUAAAUCAUUACUGGGGUGAGUAAACACACCCACUCUUCUUACUCUCUACAAUCUACAAUACUUCAUUUAUUCAUAUAAUACAAGAAUUCUUCAAACAUUCAUCCAUUCAGUCUCCAUAGCAUUCAUGAACAGAAUUUAUUUACAAAUAAAUUAUCAUCUAAACAUUUCUACAUCUUCAUUCAAUAAAACACUUCCAAAAACUUUUGUAUCAGGAGAUAGAUUAUAUUUCUGAAUCAGGUGACAUGAUGGAGCCCUUGAGAUUUAAUAAGACCAAACAAAUAAGAGAUUCAAAGUUAUAAAACACCAUUUACUGAAAGACUUACCAAUUUGAAUUCCGUUAAAAAAUGGUAUAAUAAUUAUCAAGAAGAAAGAGAUAUUAACUUAUGUAUAAAUUUGGCAAAAACCAAGAAAAUGUUUGACAACAAAAUAAAUGCUUUUUUGUUUGUUUAAUACAUCUGUUAUCUGAUCUUUUACAAGAAUAUGUGUCUUGAGGACAGCAUACCCUGAUUACAUCUUCACAUUUUAUUGUUCAGUGAACUACAAAAUUAGGGUCAAAAUCUUAAUUCAGUCCUGCCAACUAUCCCAAUUUUGGCGGUAUCAUUCCGAUUUUCAUGCCUCAACCAGAAUCCUGAUAUCGUGAUCAUAAAACAUGUCAAAAUCCCGAUUUUCACAAAAUUUACCUGAACAAAUUAUUGGUUACUGAUUUUGAAUUUUUUCUGAUCAAUUUCUAUAAAUCUAUAAUAUUACCUGGCGACAUUAUCAUGACAAGUUUACUUCCCUGUGCUAAUCAACGGUCAAAACAGAUGUUAUAAUUUGUUGUUACAGGUAAUCUGCUUAUCUGAUGGAUCAUAACUAUCCUCAAAAUUAAUUAAUUUGUUAACAGAAUCGGUAGGUCGGCUUUUCUAUUUUAAUCAAUGAUCAAAAUUUGCAAUGUUUACCGUAGUUUCAUGAAAACAAAAUCGUAAUUAACUGAAGGCCAAAAACUGUAAUGACCUCUUUAGAAAACAACGUUUAUCUUGAAAUCCGUUAAAAUUUUUGAAAUUAGAAAUGUUUCCAUCCAGUUCUGAUUUAACUUGACGCCAUUUUGUAUUAACUUCUACUGUGUAUAAGCCUCUGCUGGUAAGAGCACCUCUGAACACAAAGAAAGAUAACUAAAAUUUUAUUCAUUUUCUCAUAAAUACUGAUAGACUAACUCAAAAUCUGUUUUCUUCCUUUUAACUUUAGGAUAUUUAGGUUUAGAUCUUUUGGGUCAUGGUGAAAAGAUAAGAAGGUCUUAAGAGUGAGAAAAAAGGGGGGUCUUCACUUUGUAUCCUUUACUUUUUUUUAGGCCAUUUUUCUCUAUUCGUAAGUUAGUUUGCCAAUUAAUAAGUACAAGAAUCAUGCAAAGAAAAGAAAUCAAGGCUUAUUAGCUCAACAUCAUCAUACCAAAAGAAAAAACAGUGCACACAGAAACGCCGCAAAAAUUGUAACCCUUAAAAAUCUGGUCAUGCACUAAAUCCCCCAUGGAGAUCUUCAAAAGUUGGCAGGUCUGUUAAUUUGAUUUAUUUUAUAUUUUCAAAAGGUUCUCAACAUAUUGAAGGCAUGUACAAGAUUUCAAGGUGACCAAAACUUAUUACUUGUGUAAAUUGUCUUGAAUUUUAAAUUAAAACUUGACACAGGACAGACAGACUUUUAAAAAAGGGUGCACAGACCAGAAAAAAUAAUGCCCCCUUCUAUUGUAGAUGUGGCAUAAAACCUAUAACCUUUUGUAGGUUAUUCAUAAAAAAAUCAAGGAGAAAUUUAUGACUGCUCAUGAUUAAAACUUUCUACUGAGAGACUUCACUCUUUGCUAGAAUGCAGUUUUAUCCAACUUUUAUAAGAACGAAACAAAAGUUUAUUGCGUGCCAUUAAGUUGAGCAAACUUUUCUUAUUUAAUCAUAUAAAUUUUAAAUACAAUUUGGAAUGAAAGCCUUUGUUAUUAACCCUGAGUAUAUAUAUACCUAAUCAGUGUCAUUCUAAGGCCAUACCUAUAAAAUGUGUUUAAAUACAGGACAAUAAACUUUCAUCACUCAUUCAUACUGCACCAGGUAGUUGUAUUAUUGUGUGCUGAGCAUCACAAUACAUUAUAUAUAUUUAACAAUGACAUAAUGAUAAUACUGUACUCAAUGGGAAAAGACUUCACUUAGUAAAUACACUGUCAAGUCAUUCUUAUGAAUUAUUGGAAUUAUAUAUCAAAUAAAUUUUUGUAAAAGUGAAAAUUCCAUUGUUUUCCAAAUUACACUUAAUAAAUGUUUU